GCCGCCACCCCUCGCCCCGCCACCCCCCUCGCGGCGCCAUAGACAGCCCCCUACCACCGGUCGCGCCCACAAACGUUGGGCCUCCUCUCCCGCCCCGUCACCGCGGGGGAGUAGACGUGUAGGUGCAGCUACUCCUCGAUCACGCGCAGGAUUGGGGUGGUGGUUGAACUUGGAUCUAGCGAGAUUGCUGCGGUUGUGUCCUGCACCUACCGGACGUCUCGACACCAUCUCAUCCCUCGUGUGAAGUGUGUGGAUUGUCUGACUUGUUCCAAAUCUGCACCUUUAUUGUCUCACUCUAAGCGAAUCAAGGAUCAGAUGACAUAGUUUCUAUUGAAGCGGUGUACAAGUCAAACAGAUGUUUAUCACUCUUGUGACUGAAAUUAUAUAUUGAGUCAAUCCUUGACAAGAUUUGUCUGGAGGCGUUGACUGGAAUGGUUAUGUAGACCUGUUUUAGGAAAAUGAAUGUGUAGGUUACAAAUGACUGUGUAGGUUACAUUGUGAAACUGACAGGUCAACCAGCUACAAGUUGAUCUCCGAUUCUAUAAAACCUGCUCCUUAUAAUUGUCUAUCAGUCAGUACCUUACAGGGCCAAAAUUCUUGAUUUUACUUUUGUCAGUUUCAAAUAUUCAUGAUAUUCAGGUCCAAACAUAAGUAACGACCUAUUUGAGAAAGUUGGUAACACAUUCAGAUCAGGAGUAGUAGAAAUUCUUGAGGGCAUUUGGAUGUUGAACUGCUGGUAAUGAAGUAUGUGUUGUUUUUUAA